CACGUAGGGGGGCGAGCGUUGUCCGGAAUCAUUGGGCGUAAAGCGCGUGUAGGCGGUCCGGUAAGUCCGCUGUGAAAGUCGGGGGCUCAACCCUCGAAUGCCGGUGGAUACUGUCGGGCUAGAGUGCGGAAGAGGCGAGUGGAAUUCCUGGUGUAGCGGUGAAAUGCGCAGAUAUCAGGAGGAACACCAAUUGCGAAGGCAGCUCGCUGGGACGUAACUGACGCUGAGACGCGAAAGCGUGGGGAGCAAACAGG
rnacentral:rRNA from 1 species